UCGCCCGGGAGAGCCGCCGCCAAAGCCCAGCAGCUGAUCAGCUGGGAUCCGGGCGUGCCACUUUGUUCAGCUCCUCAAAGGAAGCGAGUGGGGCUGGGAGCAAACCUAAAACGCAGGCUCUCGCUCGGCGACGGGCCUGAGGCUUUCUUAUUCCUGGGACUUUUAAAAUCUGAGGCAAACUUACCUUCCCCCAUCCCUACGUCUGAAGAAGGGGAGCCGACUUCUGAUUACGGGGGGGCGCGUUGCCCCCCACACACGUGAAUGGGGAGCUCUGACCUCGUCAGUGAUGGAAAUGGAUGAGUGACCAAAGAAGUUUGAGCCACUAAGAAAUGAGUCCUUUGGCUCCCCGUGUCUUGUGUUCGGAAACUCAUGCUGAGCUCCAGCCAAACGUAACCUGAAGGCGAUUGUUGGUGACUAAUUUCAACACACGGAGGAACCUUGCACCAGACCGCCUGGAGAGGACCCACAGCCGAGGUCCUUAUGGGUGAACUUCUAAGUCCCUGAUACUUCCAGGAAGGAAGGUUUUCUGGCUUUUUUUAGAAAUAGCUGCUGUGUACCCCGACCCUUGUGGGGACACCAGAUCGAUUUUAUUACCAAAUGUUCUUUAAUUUCUGUAGAUACCGUUCCCGUUAGUGCUCUGCGGACUUAGUAUCGUUGAUGUGGCUUCUGGCAUCUAAAGAGCAAGGGUCACAUUUAGCUUAGCCUCUCCCUAAAGAUGCUAUUGAUGAUGAAGACAAAUGAUGGUGAAAAGUCAAACCAUUUAAUGCUGAAUCACCCCCAAAUGUGAGUGCUGGUUUAUUUGGGAUAAGCAUUUAGUUUCGACUUUGUGGAUUUUCACAAACCUUCAGUAACUAUUUCUGUGAAAAGUCCAUAGAAUGAAUGAAGCCAUACAGCACACCUAGCUCUCACUGGACUCAUACUGCCCUUAAAUCUUCACUUAAACUGACAUAAAAUUGCCACAUUUGUGGAAGACUUACAGCCGAUAAGUUUAACGAACUGAGAUUAAGUAGACUAUUGACAUCUUAAUUUUCUUUUCUAUAUUGAAAAGGAAACCCUAAAUCCAAAAGGAUAUUUUAAUAUAAAAUGUGAUUGUCAUCUUA